UGUUAAUUGGCAGAUUAAUGUACCUGAUUUAGACUCAGCGCAUGAGGUAUUUACUCAUUAACAA
rnacentral:tRNA from 1 species